CGUCACGGUAUCCGAGCAUUAAUGACCUCCUACAAAAUGUUCAAUUAAAUAAAUAUAUAUGGUGUGCAUGCUUUAAAAUUGCUGCUUUUAAUGCAGGUAUCUAGUCACGAGUCACGACAUUUAAGAUAGUUCCAAGGGGAACCGAAGGAGCUGUUAGUGUUGAGGGAACCGUUGCUGGACUUUUAGCAUCAAUUCUCCUUUCUUUCGUUGGUUAUCUGAUGGGUGAGAUAAAUGGACCCGAGGCUGUGAUUUGUGUUGUAGCUUCCUAGAUUGCUAAUCUUGGUGAAAGCGUGAUAGGUGCUUCCCUCCAAGAGAAAGAAGGAUUCUGAUGGGGUGGAAGACCACGUGUUGCAGACUUCGUUCAUGGUUCUGAUGGAUUAGGGAACAUUUCCUUACCUCCUCCAAAAUCCAAGAAAAUUGAGAAGAAGGCAUCGGAAUUUUUGGUGGAUAUGGUUUCUAAAUAUCCUGGUGAAGUAUCCAUACUUGUGCUGGGACCAUUGACAAAUUUUGCUUUAGCAAUGAAAAGGGACUCAUCCUUUGCAAGCAAGGUCAAGAGAGUAGUUAUUCUUGGUGGAUCUUUCUUUGCAUUGGGGAAUGUCAAUCCUGCUGCUGAAGCAAAUGUAAGUGAUUACCACCUCUACAAUACGUUCUCCUAUUCCAUAUGGUAUGAGCCACUAUCUUAUUUUCUUGGGAGGGAGUAGUUUAUCCAUGCUUAUGAUCUAAUAUAUGCUCUUUCUACUGAUGUUGUUUCAAGUUUGGUUGCUCUAAGAAGGGAAGCUUUUGAAGACGGAAUCCAAGCUACUAUGAAUUUUCUAAUAUCUUUAGAACUUUUUGGAUGGUUUUGAAGUUGAGAACAAUUUUUGAUGUUUAGAAACAUAGUUUUUGGAUGAUUUGUAAUGCACAGACAAUUUUUGGAAAAAUUAAACAUGACGUAUAGGAUGUGCUGUUAAAAGUUUUAAUGGCAUGCUAUGGCAUGCCGUUAAAAGUGAAUGACUUUCCAUGACUAGUUAUGACGUACCUUGUGCGUCGUAGAAUCGUAUCCAUGGCGUGCAUUUGGCGCCGUAAAAACCUUUUUUUGGUGCCGUAAUCCUUCAAAACAAUAAUUGUCCUUCUCACCAAAUAAUUUCAUCAAUCAUAUCAUUUUCACUAUAAUGAUCAAUUGUCUAACCUAAUAUCAUAUCCUAUUAUCACUUAGAUACCCUUUUAUAUAUUAAUGAAAGAAAUAUUGAGAGAGUGAUUGAAAGAGCUAAUACGCUCUGUAAUUCAAAAAUGUGUAUUAAACCUGAAGAGAAGGCUCCAUUAUAUAGGAGAGCUGAUACAACAUCAUUAUGAUACUACAGCAUGAAAGAAAACAUAUAGAAAUAAAAAGCAGCCGAAAGCGAAGCAUCUGAUGAGAAGGCA